UCCCUGGUGGCUCAGAUGGUAAAGAAUCUGUCUGAAAUGUAGGAGACCCAGGUUCAAUCCCUGGGUUGGGAA
rfam:Ovis aries breed Texel chromosome 8, whole genome shotgun sequence.